ACGAUCUUUGCGUGGCGUUAUGACGUCAUCACGCUGCUGCACCAGCUGGACGUCUCGGUCAGUAGCUGUUAGCUCGGGGAAGCAGGAAGGUUCAGUCCUGCGGAGCCGCCGCGUUUCCUCACUUUAACUUUUAAAUCCGCGUCGAACGGCCGCUAACAGAAGCUAACAGAAGCUAGCAGCCGCUAAUAGAGGCUAACGGAGGCUAACGGAGGCUAACGGAGGCGCUGCAGCGGCUCGGGAGGCUCCUGAGGACUGAGGCUGUUUCCCGCAGCCAGCGGCUCUUCCAGCGGAAGGAUUUCCUAGUUCCCCGUCGUCAGAGAUGUGAAGCUGGGAGUUGGAGGGGAGCUGCCACUCAAACCAGGACGUCAGCGCCGCCAGCCAAUCAGCACACAGUGUGGAGGUGUGUUAUGUCGGUACGUCACCCAGCAGGAGGUGCUGUUGAGGGCUCAUGCCACCUCGGGCGGUGGUAACCAUGGCAACACGGGCAGCGGCCGCCUUCCGUUAGGCGUCAUCUCCACCAACACGCUUCGCCUCGGCG
rnacentral:lncRNA from 1 species